rfam:Salmo salar isolate Sally breed double haploid chromosome ssa13, whole genome shotgun sequence.
UCCACUCACUACUGUAAAUCGCUCUGGAUAUGAGCGUCUGCUAAAUGACAAAAA